AACGGGGAGCAAACCCAUCGCCCCCCUCAGGGGGCGGCGGAGCGCUCCCCCGUCAGGGGCGGAGAGCUCCCCUCAGGGCCGCAGAGCGCAGGCCCCGCCGCCGGCCGCCUCCGCCCGCCCNNNNNNNNNNNNNNNNNNNNAGGGGCGGCGAGGCGGGUAUGGGGGAGCGGGGAGGCGGGAGGGGGCUUUCUUGGGGGUGAAAUAGAGGCGGUUUCAGGGGUUUGGGGCGCUGCGUGGCUCGGAGGGGGGUUUAUUGCCUCAGAGAGGGGGUCUUUUACCUCAGAAGGGGGCUUUUUCUCUCAGAGGGGGGGGGCUUAUUCCCUCAAAGAGUGGGUUUAUUCCCUCAGGGAGGGGUUUAUUCCCUCAGACGGGGGUCUUUUUCCCUCAGAGAAGGGCUUUUUCCCUCAGAAGGGGGGGCUUUUUCCCUCAGAGAGGGGGGCGUUUUCCCUCAGAGAGGGGGGCGUUUUCCCUCAGAGAGGGGGGCGUUUUCCCUCAGAGGGCUGCUUUCCCCUCACAGGCGCUGCCCUCCUCCCCCGCGGUGCCCGCCGAGGCGUGAAGGCUCCGAUCUCUCUGUGGUGUUUUGUUCUUUUUUUUUUUUUAAAUUUAAAUUUUUAUUUUUUAUUAUUAUUUUUGAGGGUGGGGUCGCUUCCACCACGCCAGGUGCGGGGCCCUGCCGGGGGGUCAGGGCUGGGCGAGGAGAGGCCUCGCAGCGCCGGGGGAGCGCCGUGCCGCCGCCCCCUUCCCUCCCUCCUGCCCCCUUCCCUCCCCGUCCCUGCCCCUAUUUCAUCCCCUUCCCUGCCCCUGUCUCAUCCCCUUCCCUGCCCCCUAUUUAAAGCUGGCCCCGCGGCAGCCCUGGCUUCGGAGAGCUGGCCCCCGGGGAAGGCGCGGAGAUGCAGGUAUUCCCCAGCUUUACACCAUCUCGGGCCUCUUCCCAGCGCCAGGAAUGCGGCUGGGGCUGUUUGGAGUCAUUCUGCCGAAAUAAAGCGUAUAGGCUUCUGCUUGCCUGUGGCUUGCGAUGGUGUUUUUGCGGGUGAUUUUCAUUUUUUUCCUCCGCGCUGGAGCGAUCGGGAGGCAAACCAGCAAUUAUUUCUGGUGUCGCUGCCAAAACCUUCCUGUCUUCUUCAGCGCUGCUCAGGGAGAGGAGUUCUCGUGCUGAGUUGGUUUGUUUCUUUCUGUUUUGGUAGAUAA
rnacentral:lncRNA from 1 species